AACGGUCUAUACCUGCGGUACCUGCGGAGGGAUCAUUACUGAGUGAGGGCCCUCUGGGUCCAACCUCCCACCCGUGUUUAACGAACCUUGUUGCUUCGGCGGGCCCGCCUCACGGCCGCCGGGGGGCAUCCGCCCCCGGGCCCGCGCCCGCCGAAGCCACCUGUGAACGCUGUCUGAAGUUGCAGUCUGAGAAAAUUAUUAAAUUAAUUAAAACUUUCAGCAACGGAUCUCUAGAUCGGA
rnacentral:misc_RNA from 1 species